rnacentral:misc_RNA from 1 species
UUAAAAAUUAUUUGGACUCAGACAACAUAAUAAAAGGAAUUGUUUGGUCCUCUGGCGGGCACAGACCAGCCAAGGCCGGUGGUCUAAAAGACGGGCCCACCAAAGCAACAAAGGUAUUGUAAACAAUGGGUGGGAGAUAUACCCAUAAAGGGCAUGUUCUCGGUAAUGAUCCUUCCGCAGGUUCACCUACGGAAA